rnacentral:rRNA from 1 species
GCAAGUCGAGCGGCAGCGGGAAGGUAGUUUACUACCUUUGCCGGCGAGCGGCGGACGGGUGAGUAAUGCCUAGGGAUCUGCCCAGUCGUGGGGGAUAACAGUUGGAAACGACUGCUAAUACCGCAUACGCCCUACGGGGGAAAGGAGGGGACCUUCGGGCCUUUCGCGAUUGGAUGAACCUAGGUGGGAUUAGCUAGUUGGUGAGGUAAUGGCUCACCAAGGCGACGAUCCCUAGCUGGUCUGAGAGGAUGAUC